rnacentral:misc_RNA from 1 species
GUCAUCAAUAAUAGGAAUAGGAAAAUUAUCCUUCAUAGUCACCUCAUUCAAUCUUCUAUAAUCAAUGCAAAAUCUCCAAGUACCAUCCUUUUUUUUAACAAGAAGGACUGGAGAUGCAUAAGGACUAGUACUAGGCUGUAUAACCCCAUUAUCCAACAUCUCUUUCACCAACUUUUCAAUUUCAUCUUUUUGGAAAUGAGGAUACCUAUAUGGCCUGAUAUU